rnacentral:rRNA from 1 species
CAACUCUAUGCGGUGGAUCACUCGGCUCGUGCGUCNAUGAAGAGCGCAGCCAGGUGCGUGAAUUAAUGUGAAU